rnacentral:rRNA from 1 species
GUAUCCCUACAUAGCGGGUGGGACCCACGGCGAAUGGUUCAUCAAGUCUUCAAAAAAGAAUAUAUACGAUUGCAUUGCAUAUACUAACGGAUGCGAUCAUGCCAGCACUAAUGCACCGGAUCCCAUCAGAACUCCGCAGUCAAGCGUGCUUGGGCGAGAGUAGUACUAGGAUGGGUGACCUCCCGGGAAGUCCUCCUGUUGCAUCCCUCUUUUAUGUUUAACCUUUUUUUUUUUGGUUAAAACUUUAUGACUCCAUAACUUGUAAACCG